CGAUUACAUCACAUUGAAACAUCGGUUCCCGUACGAACACUGAAGUUAAACAACGCUGAGCAAGGUCAGUACCUAGAUGGGUGACUGAUUGAGAAUACCUGGCGUUGUA